rnacentral:rRNA from 1 species
UACGUAGGUGGCGAGCGUUGUCCGGAUUUACUGGGCGUAAAGGGAGCGUAGGCGGACUUUUAAGUGAGAUGUGAAAUACUCGGGCUCAACUUGAGUGCUGCAUUUCAAACUGGAAGUCUAGAGUGCAGGAGAGGAGAAUGGAAUUCCUAGUGUAGCGGUGAAAUGCGUAGAGAUUAGGAAGAACACCAGUGGCGAAGGCGAUUCUCUGGACUGUGACUGACGCUGAGGCUCGAAAACGUGGGGAGCAAACAGG